rnacentral:rRNA from 1 species
UACAGAGGUCUCAAGCGUUGUUCGGAUUCAUUGGGCGUAAAGAGCUCGUAGGCGGCUUGUCGCGUCGUCCGUGAAAACCUGCGGCUCAACUGCAGGCUGGCGGUCGAUACGGGCAGGCUGGAGUUCGGUAGGGGAGACUGGAAUUCCUGGUGUAGCGGUGAAAUGCGCAGAUAUCAGGAGGAACACCGGUGGCGAAGGCGGGUCUCUGGGCCGAUACUGACGCUGAGGAGCGAAAGCGUGGGGAGCGAACAGG